GAUGAACGCUGGCGGUAUGCUUAACACAUGCCAGUCGAACGGACUCUUCGGAGUUAGUGGCGGACGGGUGAGUAACGCGUGAGAAUCUGGCUUUGGGUUCGGGACAACCACUGGAAACGGUGGCUAAUACCGGAUGUGCCGAGGGGUAAAAGAGAAAUUGCCUGAAGAUGAGCUCGCGUCUGAUUAGCUAGUUGGUGAGGUAAAGGCUCACCAAGGCAGCGAUCAGUAGCUGGUCUGAGAGGAUGACCAGCCACACUGGGACUGAGACACGGCCCAGACUCCUACGGGAGGCAGCAGUGGGGAAUUUUCCGCAAUGGGCGAAAGCCUGACGGAGCAAUACCGCGUGAGGGAAGAAGGCUCUUGGGUUGUAAACCUCUUUUCUUAGGGAAGAACAAAAUGACGGUACCUAAGGAAUCAGCAUCGGCUAACUCCGUG
rnacentral:rRNA from 1 species